rnacentral:rRNA from 1 species
AUUGAACGCUGGCGGCAUGCCUUACACAUGCAAGUCGAGCGGCAGCACGGGUGCUUGCACCUGGUGGCGAGUGGCGAACGGGUGAGUAAUACAUCGGAACGUACCUUAUCGUGGGGGAUAACGCAGCGAAAGCUGUGCUAAUACCGCAUACGCCCUGAGGGGGAAAGCGGGGGAUCGCAAGACCUCGCGCGAUUAGAGCGGCCGAUGCCUGAUUAGCUUGUUGGUGGGGUAAAAGCCCACCAAGGCGACGAUCAGUAGCUGGUCUGAGAGGACGAUCAGCCACACUGGGACUGAGACACGGCCCAGACUCCUACGGGAGGCAGCAGUGGGGACUUUUGGACAAUGGGGGCAACCCUGAUCCAGCAAUGCCGCGUGAGUGAAGAAGGCCUUCGGGUUGUAAAGCUCUUUUGUCAGGGAAGGAACACCGGCUCUAACACAGUCUGGGAAUGACGGUACCUGAAGAAUAAGCACCGGCUAACUACGUGCCAGCCGCCGCGGUAA